rnacentral:rRNA from 1 species
GGGUUGUGAGGUUAAGCGACUAAGCGUACACGGUGGAUGCCCUGGCAGUCAGAGGCGAUGAAGGACGUGCUAAUCUGCGAUAAGCGCCGGUAAGGUGAUAUGAACCGUUAUAACCGGCGAUUUCCGAAUGGGGAAACCCAGUGUGAUUCGUCACACUAUCAUUAACUGAAUCCAUAGGUUAAUGAGGCGAACCGGGGGAACUGAAACAUCUAAGUACCCCGAGGAAAAGAAAUCAACCGAGAUUCCCCCAGUAGCGGCGAGCGAACGGGGAGGAGCCCAGAGCCUGAAUCAGCAUGUGUGUUAGUGGAAGCGUCUGGAAAGGCGCGCGAUACAGGGUGACAGCCCCGUACACAAAAGCGCAUGUGCUGUGAGCUCGAUGAGUAGGGCGGGACACGUGGUAUCCUGUCUGAAUAUGGGGGGACCAUCCUCCAAGGCUAAAUACUCCUGACUGACCGAUAGUGAACCAGUACCGUGAGGGAAAGGCGAAAAGAACCCCGGCGAGGGGAGUGAAAAAGAACCUGAAACCGUGUACGUACAAGCAGUGGGAGCCCCACCACUAAGCCAGUGGUGAACUCCACAUCCGCAUCCUUUGCUGAGGAUACGGUUAACGGAGCGAAAGCGACGUUCAACCGCAAAACAAGCAGAGGGGGCUUAGUGGUGGGGUGACUGCGUACCUUUUGUAUAAUGGGUCAGCGACUUAUAUUCUGUAGCAAGGUUAACCGAAUAGGGGAGCCGGAGGGAAACCGAGUCUUAAUUGGGCGUUAAGUUGCAGGGUAUAGACCCGAAACCCGGUGAUCUAGCCAUGGGCAGGUUGAAGGUUGGGUAACACUAACUGGAGGACCGAACCGACUAAUGUUGAAAAAUUAGCGGAUGACCUGUGGCUGGGGGUGAAAGGCCAAUCAAACCGGGAGAUAGCUGGUUCUCC